GAAGAAAAAUUCCAUGUUCCGUGUGGCACAACCGACCCACCCUGCUCAGAGGUCCCUGGAGCUGAGCCCUUGGAGCAGUCCUGACCUCGGGCGCUCCUGCCACAUCCCCACACACGGGAUUCAGCUCCUGAUUUUCGUUAGGUCUUCCCACACCUGCUGAGCUCUUUCUCUUUCACGUAAUAUUUUUCUUCCAAUAUUUUGAGGAGCCAGUUGGUCUCCACAAAGCAUUUUCUCACCCAGAGACUCACUGGGGUUGGAUGUUUUUCAGACAUUAUGUCUCUGCAAUGGCAAGACAAGAGUUGUUUUGUGGGCAGAACUCUGUGAGGAGACCCUGCAGGCACCAGAAAAUUGUUGCUGAGGAGGAGAAACCGGCCACCUCCUGUGGCUGAGGCUUUCUCUGCACUAGAGGGCGGGAGCAUGGAGUGGCUGGGAAGUGACAAGAGGCCUGGUACUCAGUCAGCUGAGAAGGGAAACUGGAAGAGGGGAAGGAGGCAGACUAGAGAUUUUCAGCUGUGGCUAUUUGGGAUCCCCCACUAGAGGCUGCCAGGGGAAUGGGAGGAAAUAGUCUGGGAAGGGCAGGUGUGAUGAGGGAGGGUAAGUCACCCACUUUCCUCUGGUUGAGAAUCUAAUGUCUGGACAAGAGAUGGAGCUGAAUCCAAAUGAGGAAAUGAACCCUAGAAAGAAGCUAAUCCCAGAUGGAUCCAGCCUCAAAAUUCCGUGGGAGUACAAGUGCAGUGUGACUGCACCAGUAAGCCACGAAACUGCCUUAAUAUCCACCCAACUUCAUAUUUUCAGGCCCGGGAGACUCACGGUUUCUCUGAUUGCUCAAUUUUUUAUCUCUCUUUCAUCAUCCAUGAUAAACUCAGCAGCCCCACAGAACCCCAGGGUGCAACAUGGCACACGGAGAAUCAUCACUGCCUACUAGGUGGGAGCUGCCGGUGCUGCAGAAAGUCUGCAAGAACGCCACCUUUUGCAGAUUAGCUCCAUUUCUUUCUCUUUCAACUUUUCAUUUCUGCUUAGAGAAAUGAUCCAGGCACACCCUGAGUUUUCUUCUUGUGUCAAGUUCAUAAGACACAUUUUGUAGUGACCACCUCUCUCUCUCUCUAUUCCAUUCUAAGCCCUUGGUGACAAUGGAGGAGUUCUGUGGGACAGUGGAUGCUCCCCACGGCUGGCUGGGGCCUCCCCUGGCCUGACCAUUAGGCAUGGUCGUGCUUCUCUUGAAAGAAGAUUCCCCUGCAUGGACCCCAAAUGACACAAGUCGCAGCAAUUAAAGACUCUUUUUAGCUCCUAGGGUCCACUUGUGGCCCUCUGUGCAGCUGCACGUAGGAGCUUCUGCUAGUUCCACUCACACGUUUGCUCGAUGGAGCCCUUCACAGCAAAGCUGAAUUUCUACCUCCACUACAGCCCUGGCUGCCUACUUUGGGAGGCUGCUAUGAUAUAAAGGGGUCCCCAAGAGCGCAUCUGUUGGAAACACAAUCCCCUGUGCAGCAGUGCUGAGAAGUGAGGUGUUUUAAGAGGUGAUUCACUCCUCUUAAAACAUAGCUGGAGUCACGCUAUCAUCCCAUGCCGAGUGGGCUCUUUGAGGAUGCAUUUGAUUUAAGGUAAAUUCAGCCCUCUCUUGUGCACUCUUGCUCUGUGGCUUUCUGCCAUUAGGUGAUGCAGCAAGAAGGCCCUAGCCAGGUGACAGCUCCCACCUUUUCAAAUUAAGAAAUAAAUUUCCUUUCUUCAUCAAUUUCCCAGUCUCUGGUAUUUCAUUAUGGCAGUACAAAACAGCCAAGACGGAGGCCCGUGUCAAAAAGAAAGUUCAGAAGCUCUUACACAAAAAGCAGAAGUAAAAGUAUCACUAUAGGUAAUUAAUCAUAAACUUUUUGCUUUAAAAUAU
rnacentral:lncRNA from 1 species